rnacentral:lncRNA from 1 species
UCUUACACACCACCUGGGAAUCCAACCUUACUACCACCUCGUCCUCCUGCCUCGUGUCAUUAAACUUCCAUUCCAAAUACUCUGUCUUGCUCCUACUCAACCUAAACCCUUUAGACUCGAGGGUCUGUCUCUACACCUCCAGUUUAUCAUUCACACCCCCUCUCGUCUCAUCAAUCAAAACUACAUCAUCUGCAAAAAGCAUACACCAAGGCACCUCUCCUUGAAU